AGUGAACGCUGGCGGUAGGCCUAACACAUGCAAGUCGAACGGCAACACAGUAAGAGCUUGCUCUUACGGGUGGCGAGUGGCGGACGGGUGAGGAAUACAUCGGAAUCUACUUUUUCGUGGGGGAUAACGUAGGGAAACUUACGCUAAUACCGCAUACUACCUACGGGUGAAAGCAGGGGAUCUUCGGACCUUGCGCGAUUGAAUGAGCCGAUGGCGGAUUAGCUAGUUGGCGGGGUAAAGGCCCACCAAGGCGACGAUCCGUAGCUGGUCUGAGAGGAUGAUCAGCCACACUGGAACUGAGACACGGUCCAGACUCCUACGGGAGGCAGCAGUGGGGAAUAUUGGACAAUGGGCGCAAGCCUGAUCCAGCCAUGCCGCGUGGGUGAAGAAGGCCUUCGGGUUGUAAAGCCCUUUUGUUGGGAAAGAAAAGCAGCAGGUUAAUACCUCGCUGUUCUGACGGUACCCAAAGAAUAAGCACCGGCUAACUUCGUG
rnacentral:rRNA from 1 species